rnacentral:rRNA from 1 species
CAGACUUUGAUCAUGGCUCAGGACGAACGCUGGCGGCGCGCCUAACACAUGCAAGUCGAACGAGCGAGAGAGAGCUUGCUUUCUCGAGCGAGUGGCGAACGGGUGAGUAACGCGUGAGGAACCUGCCUCAAAGAGGGGGACAACAGUUGGAAACGACUGCUAAUACCGCAUAAGCCCACGGCUCGGCAUCGAGCAGAGGGAAAAGGAGCAAUCCGCUUUGAGAUGGCCUCGCGUCCGAUUAGCUAGUUGGUGAGGUAACGGCCCACCAAGGCAACGAUCGGUAGCCGGACUGAGAGGUUGAACGGCCACACUGGGACUGAGACACGGCCCAGACUCCUACGGGAGGCAGCAGUGGGGAAUAUUGCACAAUGGGGGAAACCCUGAUGCAGCGACGCCGCGUGGAGGAAGAAGGUCUUCGGAUUGUAAACUCCUGUUGUUGGGGAAGAUAAUGACGGUACCCAACAAGGAAGUGACGGCUAACUACGUGCCAGCAGCCGCGGUAAAACGUAGGUCACAAGCGUUGUCCGGAAUUACUGGGUGUAAAGGGAGCGCAGGCGGGAAGACAAGUUGGAAGUGAAAUCUAUGGGCUCAACCCAUAAACUGCUUUCAAAACUGUUUUUCUUGAGUAGUGCAGAGGUAGGCGGAAUUCCCGGUGUAGCGGUGGAAUGCGUAGAUAUCGGGAGGAACACCAGUGGCGAAGGCGGCCUACUGGGCACCAACUGACGCUGAGGCUCGAAAGUGUGGGUAGCAAACAGGAUUAGAUACCCUGGUAGUCCACACCGUAAACGAUGAUUACUAGGUGUUGGAGGAUUGACCCCUUCAGUGCCGCAGUUAACACAAUAAGUAAUCCACCUGGGGAGUACGACCGCAAGGUUGCAACUCAAAGGAAUUGACGGA